rnacentral:rRNA from 1 species
GUAGGUGGCAAGCGUUGUCCGGAAUUAUUGGGCGUAAAGCGCGCGCAGGCGGUCCUUUAAGUCUGAUGUGAAAGCCCACGGCUCAACCGUGGAGGGUCAUUGGAAACUGGGGGACUUGAGUACAGAAGAGGAAAGCGGAAUUCCAAGUGUAGCGGUGAAAUGCGUAGAGAUUUGGAGGAACACCAGUGGCGAAGGCGGCUUUCUGGUCUGUAGCUGACGCUGAGGCGCGAAAGCGUGGGGAGCAAACAGGGAUUAGAUACCCUGGUAGUCCACGCCGUAAACGAUGAGUGCUAAGUGUUAGGGGGUUUCCGCCCCCUUAGUGCUGCAGCUAACGCAUUAAGCACUCCGCCUGGGGAGUACGGCCGCAAGGCUG